rnacentral:rRNA from 1 species
GAUGAACGCUGGCGGCGUGCCUAAUACAUGCGAGUCGAGCGAACAGACGAGGAGCUUGCUCCUCUGACGUUAGCGGCGGACGGGUGAGUAACACGUGGAUAACCUACCUAUAAGACUGGGAUAACUUCGGGAAACCGGAGCUAAUACCGGAUAACAUGUUGAACCGCAUGGUUCAACAGUGAAAGACGGUCUUGCUGUCACUUAUAGAUGGAUCCGCGCCGCAUUAGCUAGUUGGUAAGGUAACGGCUUACCAAGGCAACGAUGCGUAGCCGACCUGAGAGGGUGAUCGGCCACACUGGAACUGAGACACGGUCCAGACUCCUACGGGAGGCAGCAGUAGGGAAUCUUCCGCAAUGGGCGAAAUCCUGACGGAGCAACGCCGCGUGAGUGAAGAAGGUCUUCGGAUCGUAAAACUCUGUUAUUAGGGAAGAACAAAUGUGUACGUAACUAUGCACGUCUUGACAGUACCUAAUCAGAAAGCAACGGCUAACUACGUG